GGGAUUACCUCAGUAACGGCGAGUGAAGCGGUAACAGCUCAAAUUUGAAAUCUGGCAGCAAUGUCCGAGUUGUAAUUUGUAGAGGAUGUUUCGAGCAUGGUCUGGCCUAAGUUCCUUGGAACAGGACGUCAUAGAGGGUGAGAAUCCCGUAUGCGGUCAGGUGCCUACGCUCAUGUGAAACUCCUUCGACGAGUCGAGUUGUUUGGGAAUGCAGCUCAAAAUGGGUGGUAAAUUUCAUCUAAAGCUAAAUAUUGGCCAGAGACCGAUAGCGCACAAGUAGAGUGAUCGAAAGAUGAAAAGCACUUUGGAAAGAGAGUUAAACAGUACGUGAAAUUGUUGAAAGGGAAGCGCUUGCAACCAGACUUGCACGCAGCUGAUCAUCCGCUGUUCUCAGUGGUGCACUCGGUUGCGUUCAGGCCAGCAUCGGUUUUGGUGGUGGGAUAAAGGCCUUAGGAAUGUAGCUGCUUUCGGGCAGUGUUAUAGCCUAGGGUGCAAUGCCGCCUACUGGGACCGAGGACCGCGCUUCGGCUAGGAUGCUGGCGUAAUGGUUGUAAGCGACCCGUCUUGAAACACGGACCAAGGAGUCUAACAUCUAUGCGAGUGUUUGGGUGUCAAACCCAUACGCGUAAUGAAAGUGAACGGAGGUCAGAACCCUUAAGGGUGCAUGAUCGACCGGUCCUGAAGUCUUCGGAUGGAUCUGAGUAAGAGCAUAGCUGUUGGGACCCGAAAGAUGGUGAACUAUGCCUGAAUAGGGUGAAGCCAGAGGAAACUCUGGUGGAGGCUCGCAGCGGUUCUGACGUGCAAAUCGA
rnacentral:rRNA from 1 species